rnacentral:rRNA from 2 species
UAAAGCGAUUCAGCGGGUUACGAUUGACGGAGCGAAGCGACGUCAAAGCGUAUACAAAGUCGAGUCGGUUUAAGGAUACGUUCGUUGGGUAGGGGAGCGUUCUGUAAGCCUGUGAAGGUGGCCUGUGAGGGUUGCUGGAGGUAUCAGAAGUGCGAAUGCUGACAUAAGUAACGAUAAAGCGGGUGAAAAGCCCGCUCGCCGGAAGACCAAGGGUUCCUGUCCAACGUUAAUCGGGGCAGGGUGAGUCGACCCCUAAGGCGAGGCCGAAAGGCGUAGUCGAUGGGAAACGGGUUAAUAUUCCCGUACUUGGUGUUACUGCGAAGGGGGGACGGAGAAGGCUAUGUUGGCCGGGCGACGGUUGUCCCGGUUUAAGCGUGUAGGUGUGUGUUCCAGGUAAAUCCGGUUCACUUUAACACUGAGGCGUGACGACGAGGCACUACGGUGCUGAAGCAACAAAUGCCCUGCUUCCAGGAAAAGCCUCUAAGCAUCAGGUAACAUCAAAUCGUACCCCAAACCGACACAGGUGGUCAGGUAGAGAAUACCAAGGCGCUUGAGAGAACUCGGGUGAAGGAACUAGGCAAAAUGGUGCCGUAACUUCGGGAGAAGGCACGCUGACACGUAGGUGAAGUGAUUUACUCAUGGAGCUGAAGUCAGUCGAAGAUACCAGCUGGCUGCAACUGUUUAUUAAAAACACAGCACUGUGCAAACACGAAAGUGGACGUAUACGGUGUGACGCCUGCCCGGUGCCGGAAGGUUAAUUGAUGGGGUCAGCGCAAGCGAAGCUCCUGAUCGAAGCCCCGGUAAACGGCGGCCGUAACUAUAACGGUCCUAAGGUAGCGAAAUUCCUUGUCGGGUAAGUUCCGACCUGCACGAAUGGCGUAAUGAUGGCCAGGCUGUCUCCACCCGAGACUCAGUGAAAUUGAACUCGCUGUGAAGAUGCAGUGUACCCGCGGCAAGACGGAAAGACCCCGUGAACCUUUACUAUAGCUUGACACUGAACAUUGAGCCUUGAUGUGUAG